rnacentral:rRNA from 1 species
CAGUCGCCGCGGGAAAACGAGGGGGGCAAGCGCUGUUCGGAUUUACUGGGCGUAAAGGGUGCGUAGGCGGACUGAUAAGUCAGGGGUGAAAUCCCAAGGCUCAACCUUGGAACUGCCUUUGAUACUGUUAGUCUUGAGUUCGAGAGAGGUGAGUGGAACCGCGAGUGUAGAGGUGAAAUUCGUAGAGAUGUGGAGGAACACCAGUGGCGAAGGCGACUCUCUGGUCUGUAACUGACGCUGAGGAGCGAAAGCGUGGGGAGCAAACAGGAUUAGAUACCCGAGUAGUCCCUGUCUCUUAUAC